UAACUGAUUGUUUUACAUUUAACAUGGUUAUUACCAAGUUCUGUGAAAGGAAUGAAAUGAAAAAGGCCUUUGAUCUGGUAAAACAAAUGAAUCAGUUUGCGGUUAUUCCUAAUGUAGAUACCUACAAUGCCCUUUUUAAUGGUCUCAUUAGAACUGGUGCUUUAGAUAAAGCCCACUAUGUUUUGCAAGCCUUGUUGGAAAGUGGUUCUGUUCCUACAAAUAAGCAAUACAUCACUUUAAUCAAUGGCAUGUGUAGAGUGGGAAACAUAAAAGGAGCAUUGAAACUGCAAGAUGAAAUGAAAACGCUUGGUGUCUGCCCCCACAAUAUUGCUAUGAGUGCUAUUGUUAGAGGGCUUGCACAUUCAAGGAAGAUUGAACAUGCUAUUUGGGUUCUUGAUUUGAUGCUUGAGAUGCAAAUCAUUCCAACUGUUGCUACUUUCACUACUUUAAUGCACAUUUAUUGCAAAGAAGCUAAUGUUGCAAAAGCUUUAGAAUUAAGGAGAAUAAUGGAACAUUGUCAUGUGAAGCUUGAUGUUGUUGCAUAUAGUGUUCUUAUAUCUGGCCUUUGUGCUAAUGGUGAUAUUGAAGCUGCUUUUAAACUUUAUGAAGAAAUGAAACAAAGAGAUCUAUGGCCUAAUACCUCUUUAUAUUUAGUUCUUAUUGAUUCUUUCUGUGUUGGAAAUUAUCAUAUUGAAAGUGAAAAACUUUUGAGGGAUUUACAAGCCAGGGAACUGGUUUCUUUAAAUUUGUUUGGAGGCGCCAAAAGAUUGAAUGAGUUAUUGAUAAUUGCUAGAAAAGAAUUAAUUCGCUUGAGGUACAAAAUGAGUAGAAAGUUUGGUUGAUUGCAUUAUGCUUUUUCUUUCUCCAGAAUGUGAUUUGUUAGACGAGGCUCAGCCAACAGUUCUGUUACAAGUCCAGAUAUGAUAAUUCUGUAUGGUUACUCAGCAUCAGGUUUGUACUUCAUAGUCCAUAUGCAUAAAAUCCCACUUCUCAUAAUAAGGUUGUAGACAGUGUUACGAGAAGACAUUUACAAGUCUAUUAGCAUAGGUCCAUACUUUUACUGGGUCAGUUCAAUUUGCAGAUUUGUUCCCUCUGUUUAGAGCAGUAGUGAGGAAAGAAGUGCAGCUUUCCCCUUGGUUUAAAACCUUUGGGAGACAAAUAAAGCUCAUAGAAAAGAAGUCCUUCAUCAUAAGGUUGGCCUUCAAAAGUUCCUUUCCAUAGAAGAGCAUUGAUAUUUAAAGAACUAAAGUUCCUAAGUUGAAAUUGGUGCAAGUGCAACCAUACAAAUCCUUAUGUAUCUGCCUCAGGGAUUAUUGGUAAGUUCUCAUUUGUCUGUGCAUUAUACUUAUCCCAAGCUGUUCAGAAGUUAUCUGGUUGGAAGCUUGUAGUGGGAGAUGUUUUCCGUACUCCAUCAAAUCCUGCUCUGUUGUGUGUGAUGGUUGGGGAUGGAGUUCAGAUUCUUGGGAUGUCUGUUGUGACCAUAUUGUUUGCUGCACUUGGAUUCAUGUCACCAGCAUCCCGCGGAACGCUGAUCACAGGAAUGCUGUUUUUCUGUAUGAUACUUGGUAUUGCUGCUGGUUAUGUCUCAGUUUGGAUAUGGACGACAAUUGGAUUCGGCGAUCAGAAGGGUUGGGUUUCAAUCGCAUGGAAGGCCGCAUGUUUCUUCCCAGGCAUUUCCUUUAUGAUUCUAACAACCUUGAACUUCCUAUUGUGGGGAAGCCAUAGCACUGGAGCCAUUCCAUUUUC